UGGGGAAUAUUGCGCAAUGGGGGAAACCCUGACGCAGCAAUACCGCGUGAGUGAAGAAGGUUUUCGGAUCGUAAAACUCUUUUAUUGGGGAAGAAGAAGUGACGGUACCCAAUGAAGAAGUCCCGGCUAACUACGUGCCAGCAGCCGCGGUAAUACGUAGGGGACAAGCGUUGUCCGGAAUCACUGGGCGUAAAGGGCGCGUAGGCGGUUUUAUAAGUCAGAUGUGAAAGGUACCGGCUCAACCGGUGACGUGCAUUUGAAACUGUAAGACUUGAGUACUGGAGAGGCAAGUGGAAUUCCUAGUGUAGCGGUGAAAUGCGUAGAUAUUAGGAGGAACACCGGUGGCGAAGGCGGCUUGCUGGACAGAUACUGACGCUGAGGUGCGAAAGCGUGGGGAGCGAACA
rnacentral:rRNA from 1 species